AUUGCCAUAAAACAGUGAAAGCAAGAAACUUCCAACAGAUAAUUACAGAAUUCCUGAGAUCCUUCAAUAAACAUCUUCUCCCUUACCCCUGUUUCUCUCUGUUUUCUUCUAUUUCUUCAGUCCCCUCAAUCUAGAACCUUCUUCUACCCAUCAUCAUAUCUUCACUUAACUCCAAUUUAUACCCUUUAAACCCAUUAUUAAACCCACACCAUGUCCCUAAUCCCCAUUAUCAAAAUCUAAAACCCCCUAAAAUUGCACUAUUUUAAAAAUGGAAAGUGUAAUUCCAAAAGAAGAAGAGAUUACAAUCACCUACAACACAGGUACAUCAUCAUCAGCUGGAUCAUCAUCAAACUUGUCUGUGAGACCCAUGGAAGGGCUUCAUGAGAUGGGUCCACCUCCAUUUUUGAUCAAGACUUUUGAUAUGGUGGAAGAUCCUUCUACUGAUACCAUUGUUUCUUGGAGCUCAGCUCGUAAUAGCUUCAUUGUUUGGGAUUCCCAUAAGUUUUCUACUUUGCUUUUGCCUAAAUUCUUCAAGCACAGUAAUUUCUCAAGCUUUAUUCGUCAGUUAAAUACUUAUGGUUUCAGAAAGGUUGAUCCAGAUCGUUGGGAAUUUGCAAAUGAAGGCUUUCUAGGAGGGCAAAAACACUUGUUAAAAACCAUCAAAAGGAGAAGAAAUGUAGCACAAAACAUUUCAAACCAAGGUUCAGCUUGUGUUGAGAUAGGCCAUUAUGGAUUAGAUGGUGAAAUGGAAAGACUAAGGCGAGAUAGGAAUGUAUUAAUUGCCCAACUUGUAAAGCUAAGACAACAACAGCAGCUUUCCAGAGAACAAAUCCGUACAAUGGAAACUAGGCUUCAAUCUACUGAAAAAAAGCAACAACAAAUGAUGGAGUUUCUGGCCAAAGCCCUUACCAACCCAUCAUUUGUACAGAACUUAAUGCAUCGAACCGAGCAAGGUAGAAUGUUUGAAGGCAUUGAGAUUGGUAGGAAAAGGAGAUUAACUGCUAGCCCAAGCAGAGAACUUCUGCAAGAUGAAGUGUUAUCAGCAGUGGAGAACACAGAAGGGUUGACAGCAACUGUGGAAACCGAAAUCGAAACAUUAUUCUCAGCUGCAUUGGAUGAUGAAGCUAGCAGUGAUGUUAAAGGGCCUGAUUCUAUACUCUCAUCCAUUGAUCGAAAUUUGGAAAUUGUGGGUGAAAUUGAUUGGGAAGAUUUACUAAUUGAGGAAAUGGUUGGUGAAGAGCAGGACUUGGAUGUACCAGUAGAGGAUUUGGCUCCUGAAACUUCAAAUUGGGGUGAGGAUCUUCAAGACUUGAUUGAUCAAAUGGGUUUUCUAGGAUCAAUACCAAAAUGAUAAAUGAUCUUCAUAUGAUUGUUUUGUGAUGCCUCCUUGGUUUAUCUUUCAUCUUGCCUCUCAUUUAAUGAAGAGUGGCAGGAGGAUCCAAGGAGGCAUAAUUGAUGGUUUAAACAUUCUGUUUUGUAUCCUUUUCAAUUCUUUCAAGUAUUCAAUUAAGUAAAGAUUGGGUGUAAUUACUUGUACACUGAUUCGCGAGUACACUCGCGAAUUCAAACGACAAAUUUGCUUAGGAAUUAUGUUACGCUGGUUAUGAUUGUUUGUUUCUCAUUGUUUUUGCAGGGCAAGAAAAUGAUAAAGGGUAGUGCAAAUAACCGAUUUUGACUCUGUACUUUGGUGCUCAUCCAUCAGAAGCCAGGAACUUAAUUUUUCUCUUCAUAGGAGGAGCAUAAGAUAGUAUUUGGUUUGUGGGUGUGCAAUCAUAUUUGGUAAAUAGCUUAUUAGCUAUUAAUUUUGGGGUGAUAUGAAGUAUUUGGGUUGUAGAAACGGUACAUUUGUUCAUUUGUUUAGAACACUGAACUCAUCUAUCUCCAAAAGUCAGCAGUUAUCUGCAAUGUACAGCAAUUACAUAUUAUGAUUAGUGCAAGUUUUUUUUCUUUGGUACUAGACUUUGAUGUUCUGAUAAGAUGUAAGCAUUCUAUGAUCUUUGCUAUGAUAUAUGUUUAUACCCUAAAGGGCUCAUCAACAAAUCUAUUAUAUUUCUCUUAUAUGAGCUUGAUCAUCAUUGUUCAUUCAUGAUGGUGACUAAAAAAUUUCUGUUUUGGAUUUUCAAUUAAAGGUCAGUUGAUUCAGUUUUUUCUACUGUAGACUAGAGUUGUUUGGUAAAAGAUAUAUAGCGGGUAGUUGGUUGGAGUGG